UCUCCUACGGGUGGCAGCAGUGGGGAAUAUUGGACAAUGGGCGCAAGCCUGAUCCAGCAAUGCCGCGUGAGUGAUGAAGGCCUUAGGGUUGUAAAGCUCUUUUACCCGGGAUGAUAAUGACAGUACCGGGAGAAUAAGCUCCGGCUAACUCCGUGCCAGCAGCCGCGGUAAUACGGAGGGAGCUAGCGUUGUUCGGAAUUACUGGGCGUAAAGCGCGCGUAGGCGGCUAUUCAAGUCAGGGGUGAAAGCCCGGGGCUCAACCCCGGAACUGCCUUUGAAACUAGGUAGCUAGAAUCUUGGAGAGGCGAGUGGAAUUCCGAGUGUAGAGGUGAAAUUCGUAGAUAUUCGGAAGAACACCAGUGGCGAAGGCGACUCGCUGGACAAGUAUUGACGCUGAGGUGCGAAAGCGUGGGGAGCAAACAGGAUUAGAUACCCCGGUAGUC
rnacentral:rRNA from 1 species